UUUUUCAGAAAGUCAAUUUUGCAGCUGCUCCUUCCAGAAGAAAAGAUAUCUCGCGUUCGUACUCGUGGUGACAAUGCGCUUUUAACGCCUUAAUUUACUUUUUAUGCCUUGCAUGCGUGUAUAGACAAUAUCGUUACUCGGCCGUAAGGUUUGACUCUUGGGUUUAAAGAAAUGUGCAGAUCCGACGCACAUGUUGGGAUCUACGCGAAAGGGAAGCUUUAGUUAAGUGGUUAAUCGAAAGCUUCGCAACUAUAACGGCGCUGCGUACGAUUUGGUUUCCCUCACAAGAUAUGCCGAAAUAGAAGCUUCAAGUCAAGCGAAGGCUCUGUGUGACACGUAUAGGCAGCGGUGUGACAAGGACGAAGGCGAUGCAUGUUGCUGGCCAAGGGUAGAACAGCGCACUUCACUAUAAGUGGGACAUGCCCAAUCUGGAGGGCUGACCAAGAACGGGCACAUCCACCGGCCACAAACCGAAUGGCUAAAUCCAAGAAAAUAAAUCAAAUAAUCCGGUAAAUAAAACUCGCUAUUAUAUUAACAGGUCGGUGUGCUUUAGAUAUAUAUGCAGUGUGUGCCGACAUUAUACGUUCAGGCUUUACGCCGGCAACUAUGGUGGGACGUGCCCGUUCUGGAGGAUUGCCCAAGAACGGGCACGCACCAAGAGGAACAUAUUGAGUAGCUAAAUCGAAUAAAAUAAAGUAAAUGAAGAGAAUUCCGUAAAUAAGAUCCACCAUUCCACAAACAGAUCAGUGGGUCUUAUAAAAGAUGCCCUUGUGCCGAUCUUGUAUGUUUUGGCUUAUGUGGAAAGUCUUUUCGGCUACGCAUAAUUAAAGUGAACACGCUUGGUCAGCUCGUUCGCUGAUAUACUUUCAUUCGGCGCACAUACAUUAUUUGUAAAUAUAUCGAUAAAUAUGUCCGCCGAGAUAGCAACCGGCUGAACAACACCCAGCUGCCAGGCAGUCCCACCAAACUCGGAAAAGUAGGCAAAGAAAGGUUCGCCUUAAAAGGUGCGCUGGCAACAAAACAUGUUCGCAGUAAUACUUCCAUGCCAAUAUCUCUUUCGUAAUUUAUACGAGGUAUUGCACGGCUCAUGUUAGAGGACAGGCAGCGGUGCGUAAGGGCGUAUGGACCUUUCGCAAUUCCUAUGAUAUUAUGCUGUAGAAAUUAUUGUUUGUCAAACAGAUGGCACAGUUGUUUUUCUGGGUGGUGUAACCAUUAUGUUGCUACUGGGCCGAUGUAAAAAACAAA